rnacentral:misc_RNA from 1 species
GAAAUGCGAUAAGUAAUGUGAAUUGCAGAAUUCAGUGAAUCAUCGAAUCUUUGAACGCACAUUGCGCCCCCUGGCAUUCCGGGGGGCAUGCCUGUUCGAGCGUCAUUACACCACUCAAGCCUGGCUUGGUAUUGAGCGCCGCGGCCUGCCCGCGCGCUCCAAUGUCUCCGGCUGAGCCGUCCGUCUCUAAGCGUUGUGAAUAGCGAUCGCUUGCGAGGCCCGGGCGGUUCGACGUCGUUAAACCCCCCAUUUUCUAUGGUUGACCUCGGAUCAGGUAGGGAUACCCGCUGAACUUAAGC